rnacentral:rRNA from 1 species
UGGGGAAUAUUGCACAAUGGGCGCAAGCCUGAUGCAGCCAUGCCGCGUGUGUGAAGAAGGCCUUCGGGUUGUAAAGCACUUUCAGCGAGGAGGAAGGGUUCAGUGUUAAUAGCACUGUUCAUUGACGUUACUCGCAGAAGAAGCGCCGGCUAACUCCGUGCCAGCAGCCGCGGUAAUACGGAGGGUGCAAGCGUUAAUCGGAAUUACUGGGCGUAAAGCGCACGCAGGCGGUUUGUUAAGUCAGAUGUGAAAUCCCCGCGCUUAACGUGGGAACUGCAUUUGAAACUGGCAAGCUAGAGUCUUGUAGAGGGGGGUAGAAUUCCAGGUGUAGCGGUGAAAUGCGUAGAGAUCUGGAGGAAUACCGGUGGCGAAGGCGGCCCCCUGGACAAAGACUGACGCUCAGGUGCGAAAGCGUGGGGAGCAAAACAGGAUUAGAUACCCUGGUAG